GGAGGGGUGGCAGAGUGGUCGAUUGCGGCGGUCUUGAAAACCGCUAUACCGCAAGGUAUCGUGGGUUCGAAUCCUACCCCCUCCGCCA
rnacentral:tRNA from 1 species